rnacentral:rRNA from 1 species
UACGGAGGGUGCGAGCGUUGUCCGGAAUUACUGGGCGUAAAGCGCGCGUAGGUGGUUCGUUAAGUUGGAUGUGAAAUCCCCGGGCUCAACCUGGGAACUGCAUUCAAAACUGACGAGCUAGAGUAUGGUAGAGGGUGGUGGAAUUUCCUGUGUAGCGGUGAAAUGCGUAGAUAUAGGAAGGAACACCAGUGGCGAAGGCGACCACCUGGACUGAUACUGACACUGAGGUGCGAAAGCGUGGGGAGCAAACAGG